rnacentral:rRNA from 1 species
CAGUCGCCACGGUAAUACGAAGGGGGCUAGCGUUGUUCGGAUUUACUGGGCGUAAAGCGCACGUAGGCGGAUCGAUCAGUCAGGGGUGAAAUCCCAGAGCUCAACUCUGGAACUGCCUUUGAUACUGUCGAUCUGGAGUGUGGAAGAGGUGAGUGGAAUUCCGAGUGUAGAGGUGAAAUUCGUAGAUAUUCGGAGGAACACCAGUGGCGAAGGCGGCUCACUGGUCCAUUACUGACGCUGAGGUGCGAAAGCGUGGGGAGCAAACAGGAUUAGAUACCCCCGUAGUCCCUGUCUCUUAUAC